AGUGGUGCCAAUUCCAGAUACAUAAAUAGCAACUCUUAUAAUAGCGUCGUUAAGCUUAAUCUUUAAAUGCCAUUUAUCCAUAAAAUGAUCAGCUUUGAUAAGUCUGUCUUUAGAGAACAAACAAAAGGCAGACUUAGAACACGAAAUUUCAAGACCGAGCUGACUAAUAUUCUCAUUAAAAAUAGGUAAAGCCUUAUUAAUCAAGUCAUAUACAACAGGUAUUAAUUGACUAGAGGUAUACAGACAAAUGUUAUCUGCGUAAACAAGAUAGUGAACAUCCUCCGGAAGAGAACGAAAAAUGAAGGAGAUAAAUGUUGAAAAGAAUAGGACUGAGCACCGAACCUUGAGGGAGGCCACCUUUAGCGGUCCUAGAGCCCAGCGAAGUAUCUCCCACGAAGCUCUCUACAGAUCUGUGACAAUAAAAUCUGUUUCAAUAAAAAGUCAAGAAAUUUCAAAUAUUUUACAGACAAAUGCAACUGUUUUAAAAUGUUCAACAUAGUGUGAGGAAGAAUAGUGUCAAGGGCUCCACGCAAGUCAAUGAAAAUGACACCAGUAAACAUAUUCCUGAAAAAACCUAACAGUGCAAUUAACGUUAAUGCCCAAUCAUAAUGUAAUUAAACAGAAAGGCUUUCAUGCUCUACAGAAAGCAUUGAAAUUUCAUGAUAUUAUUUACAACAAACCAUGUCAAUGUGGUGUCUGUUGUAACAACCGAAACUAAUUGCCUUAUUUUCAUAGAAUUAGAUAUCAGAGCUGAUCUUCAAUCUACUGCAAAAUCUUGUAAACUUAAAGAAUUACCAACGAUAUUGAUAUUGGCAAAGCAAUAUAGACUGAUAGGUGUUGUUGCAGGAUAUCCAGGUCAUUUUGUUGCUUAUUGUAGAUGACUUUCAGGACUAUGGGAGCAAUAUAAUAAUUUGAAUACUACAGUAAAAUCUUGUACACAAAACGAAUCAAUUACUCCCAUCGCUGCGAUUUAUAUUAUUCACGAAGAUAAUUAAAUGAAAGCAUUGAAGUUGGCAAGAGAAUAAUAAAAUAAAAUAAAAUAAAAUAAUUGAAAGGAACGACGAACGAUUAUAAAAGAUAAAAAACUUUUGUAUUCUAUUGUAUUUUGUAUUCUACAGUACAUACAAAAUCAAAUUACGCAAUUAGAUAUCAGAGCUGAUCUUCAAUUUACUGCAAAAUCUUGUAAACUUAAAGAAUUAGCAACGAUGAUAUAUUGGCAAAGCAAUAUAGACUGAUAGAUGUUGUUGCAGAAAAUACCAGGUAAUUUUGUUGCUUAUCAUAGACGACUUUCAGGACUAUGAGAACAACAUAAUGAUUUAAAUACUAUAGUAAAACCUCAUACGAAAUAAAACAGUAGUUUAGUCCUAUCAAUGCAAUUUAUUAUAAUUCAUAAACAUAAUUAAAAUAUGAGUUGCAUGUCAAAUAUAAUAACAAAAAACGUGUCUUUAAGAAUAAAAUAAACUUGCCAAAAAGAAUAGGACUUAAAAAAAUAAAAGAUCCAUAAAACUUUGUGGCAUCUUUUAAAUGUAGAAAAGCAAAAACUGGCAUUCAUAGCAGCAAUUCAUAAAUUGGUGCGUUUGAUGUGAGAUUUGUUGAUUAUCUAAAACAGACAAUGUAUCUUAUUUUAUAUAUAUUAUAUACGUAUAUGUAAAAAACGCACAAAAACAGA